GAAAGGGACCACGGCGAACAGUGUGUCGGGAGGCGGGGUUAAAGCCAGCUACGGUUGCCGUCUGGCGCAGGAGGUAACGGGUGGGAAGAAGGAGCGGCGUCGGGAAGCGCUCGGGGCCGCCACCGCCAUCGCCAUCAUGAGCUAUUCAGGAUAUGGAAAUUGGAAUUCUGGAACAAAUAGAGGUUACGAAGAUUAUAAUUAUGGAUAUGGAUACGGUCAGGAUAACUCUGGCAAUUAUGGGUAUGGUAUGGGCACUUCAAACUCUUGGGAAAUGCCUAAUUCAAAUACAGACAUGAACUUUAACGCAUCCACUGGCACCAGCGCUGAUGAUGUAAUUUCAAAUUUUAACCAGCGCUUAGAUAUGGUAUCUCAUCUAGACACUGAAACGAUGCAAGGAGGACAUUAUGGCUCAGGUGGAGACAGGUAUGAUACAUAUGAAUCCUAUGAUUCAAGGUCUGCAAUGAAUGACCGUGAUUUGUACAGAUCUGGCUAUGAUUACAGUGAGGCCAAACAUGAAACUGACAAUGCCUAUGAAGGUCACUAUGACAGCUCCUAUGGCAACCGCAGGGACCAGUACCACAACAGAGCACGUGACAACUUUGGCCACCGGGGUCAAAACUGGGCCAGAGAUGGAAGAAAUAACAGAGGCAUGGCACCUUCAUAUGGGCACAUGGGUGGACAAUGGAAUGACCCACCAGUACCAAUGGGAGGACGGGGCCGUGGCCCCAAUAGACCACCAUCGCUUUUUUCCCACAAACUAUUCCCUGAUUACAACAUGUUCCAGGGUAUGAGAGGUUUCUCUGGCAAUAUGCGUUUUGGAGGAGGCAGCAUGAAACAACGAAUGAGGAGAAACUGGAAAAUGUGGGAUGCAGAUUUUAAAAAGAAAAGAAUAAAGAAUGAGCCAACUGGUAAUAAACGUAAACAAGCUAACAGUUCUGAUGAACCUGAUAGCAAAGCAGCAAAAACAGAUAACUCAGAUAACUCAGAUUCUGAUAAUGAAGAAGGGCCUGAAGGAGAAGCUGCUGAGAAGGGUUCUAAAAAUGAGGGAGAGGGAGAUGGUGCUGAAGAUGAAGAAAGAAAAGAAGAAUCAGAGAAAGGUGCUCUGACAAUUCAAGAAGAAAUCAGCCAAAUUAAGCGCAAAUUGCAGGCCGGGAAGAAAACUCAAGAGAGGCAAAAAAAACGAUACCGUGAUCGUAUGGUAGAAAGAAUUCAGUUUGUAUGUUCAUUGUGCAAGUAUCGCACUUUCUAUGAAGAUGAGAUGACCAAUCAUUUGGAAAGCAAAUUUCAUAAAGAGCAUUUUACAUUUGUUGGAACCAAGCUACCCAAGCAGACUGCUGACUUCCUGCAGGAAUAUGUUGCUAACAAAACAAAGAAGACAGAGGAACGUCGUAAAGCAAUUGAAGAUAUUAAUGCAGUUAUACAACAGAUUUACAAAGACCAAGAUCUUACACAAGAUAUAGGUAUGGAACAUUUUGUAAAAAAGGUGGAGGCUGCUCACUGUGUUGCCUGUGACCUGUUCAUCCCAAUGCAAUAUGGAAUCAUCCAGAAACAUCUGAAAUCUCUUGAUCAUAACCACAACCGUAGAGCUAUGAUGGAACAGUCCAAGAAAUCAUCAUUAGUAGUUGCAAGAAGUAUUCUUAACAAUAAACUUAUCAGUAAAAAGUUGGAGAGGUAUCUAAAGGGCGAGAAUCCCUUCACAGAUGAUCCUGAAGAGAAAGAGGAACAUGAAGAAAGUGAGGCAGGAACAAGUGGGAACAUUGAGGAAAGAGCAGCUGAAGGUGAAGAAAACCUAAAUGAAGAGCAAAGUAAAAGUAAUGACAAUCCUCCUGAGGAAAAUCCAGUGGCUGAUGAAAUUGCAGAAAAUAAAGGUGAUGGAGAAGAACUACAAGGACGAAUGGAGGAAUGGAAUUUGACCACAUCUCAAGAAGGUUUUGCUACUGAGCAGAAUCCAGAACAUGAAGAAGAAAAAGAAAAAGAAAAAACACAAGAAAAACAAGACAUUGUACCUUCAGAGAAGAUGGAACCACCUGAUGAGUGAACUUGCAAAGAAGGUUGAAUCAUUUUGAGACUCUGCAUUAAAUCUUCUAAAACCAUACCUGUAUUUGUGACACACCAUGGCACGUGGCUUUUGGUUCUCAUUGACCUCACUUUCACCUAGUUAACAGCCUUUAUUUGUAAAGUGUUUUUGAAAAUAGCUUUUUUAACCAAAUUUUCAUUGUAUUAGCUAGAUUUUGUGCAGUACAAUUUUUAAGUGGCUUUGUAUUAGGAAGUAUACUUUUUUUAGUAAAUAAUCAAAAUCAAAUUUUGUCAAUUGGCUUAUACCAUACUAAACCUUGGAAGGAUAAAUAACAUUUAAAUUUUCCCAUUUGCUUUUGUAUAUAGUUGAAAAUGUUUUAGUUCCAUAGUUAGUCUUGUCUGAAAAUGUCAGUAGCAGAAUUAUGGGUUUUAAAUUCUGCAUGAUUGGAAUAUCUUCCAUGCAAGUGUAGCAUUCUUCUAUCUUUUUACUUUUAAUAUUCAAAAAAGACUUUGGUCAGCACAAUAAUUUUGCAGUGCUUUUAUUCAAGAGGGAACAUUUGCAAUAGUUGAUUAUAAAACAUUAUUAGGGCUAUAUGUGUAAGUUUUGACAGAAGCAGCAUGCUUGUUAUUGUGCAGAAAGCCUCAAGGAGAAAUGAAUGCAUUCUGGCACUUUCCAAAAAUGCAAUUUAUAUUAUUCUGUUUGAGAUUAGGAGGAUUUCUUAGUUUCUGCUUAUUUUAGAUGGAUGUUCUGAAAAUGAAGUCUGUAGCAGCCCAACAAAAAUCUACUGAAGAAGCGUGUUACAAAACAUUAAAUAUUCCCUUCAAAGCAGGUCUUCAAGUUGUCUCAUUUUAAAUCCUCAAAUCAUCUCUGCUGCAUUUGUCAAGAAUAUAGUAUUGCUUCAUUGUUCCUUUGUUUAUUAAGAAUUGCAGGCAUUAAUGCCAUAAGUUUAUUUCAACUCUUGCUGCUACCCCAAUUGCUUUCUAAGCAAUAGUGGUACAGAUUCUGAUAUUCUUGUUCAUGCUCAAUUUAUUAUCCUCUCAUUUCUCUUUAUGUACAUGCCUUCUUCCUGUAGUGGAGAUCAAGCAAUGGAACCUGAAAAUAUUCAAUGGACAUAUUUUUCUGGAAACCUGCUACAUUAGCAAAGACAAGGCUGGGACAUAAAUCUUGGAGAGGAAUCCCCUCCUGUUUGAAAUAAGGAGAAGAAUGCCAGCGUCAAUGCCUUUCUUUAGAAACAAUAUAAAUAUUAUUAUGUUAUAAAGAGUUACAUAGCAGAAUUAAUUUCACCUCAUCUUCUGUCACUGCUGCAACACAAGUUUCUCUUCUGCUUGAAUGUUAUUGACUGUGUAUGAAAUACUAAAUUUGCACAUCAAUUGUUUUUAAAAUUGUAUUUUUCAUGAACGACAAUGUGUUCUCUGUAUAUACAUUUUUAAAUCAAGUUAAACGUAACUCCUAGUGACUGCAUUUUGGCAGUUUUCUUGACAGCAUUAUGGAAGUGACUUGAUAUUAUCACCUUCUAAGAUGUUUUUAUCCCUUCUCAGUCUAGUGAGCCAUAGAGUCAGACAUUCUUCCAUUCAAAUAUUAACCAGGGUUAAUCCUGCUUUGCUUUUCAAAUCAGCAAAGGUUUAUAGGACCAACUGCUCAGAUUUCAUUAUUGUUUAAAAAGAUAAAGGGUGCAUCCAGACAGCCAUAAAGUGCUUUCCUUCAGUCUCUGAGCAUUUUUAUUAUUACAGGUUUCAGCUUUAAUAGUGCAACAGGUUCCUUUAUUGCUAACAAUUCAUAUUCCCCUUGUCAAUCUCUGUUCUACUUCAAUAAUUAACUUGGCAAGUGCUAUCCUUAUUGCCUUAAAAUAGGACAAGUUAAGAAAAACAUUUGGUGGCUUCUUCUGACUUUAUUUCCCCUCCCACUUAAUGUUACCUUAGUAGGAAAAUAACCAUCAAUUUGAAAUGUCCUUGGUGGUCUCUGACCUUGGUUGUUUCCUUGCAGAGGUUUCAUUACCCAAACUAGGUAGCAUCAUCAGUGCUAGUAAGGAAUGUGGUUUGCUGUAGCAUCCUUUUUGGCGUGGGUGAUGGUCUCUUUUGCAUAGUCUAUAGAUGUUAAUGUCUAUGUGUCUAUUGGUGGUUGAUUUGUUAGAGUGCCAGGCUUCUAGAAAUUCCCUGGAGACAAUCAACCAGCCAAAAAGGGAACAAAAUGACAGAAGCACUUCUCCACCAGCAUCAGCACCUAAAUCAGCAUAGAUUAAGUUCAAGGUUAACAUCAGAUCAACAUUCAAGUAAACAAUACCCCAAUCAAGAAACUGCCAAAAAAAGCCAACAGCAAACAGCUCAAUUAAAGAAUCUAUUAAGACCAUCCCUCACCAACAUUGACAGGGCAAGCUACUAGAAUAUAAACUGACAGUAAACCACACUCCUUACUAGCACUGAUGAUGUUACCUAGCUUGGAUAAUGAAACCUCUGCAAGAACACAAGCAAGUUCAGAGAGCACCAAGGACACCUUGUCAACCCUCAGCUACAAAUAUUCUCAUUUAUUAAAACUACCAAUUUAAUUAAUGAUUGACAGAUGAUGUAGGUGCUUGGAAUGCCUGAUUAAUGGUAGUCACCAAAUUUGACAAAUAAACUGCACAUAUUGAGCUAUUCUGUUCCUGUUUCCUUUCAGUGAGGGUAUUUUUGAUCAGAACUGUAAUGUUCUUCUAGAAACAUUACACUUGUGUCCCAAAAUAAUUUGGCAGAUAACACUGCAGUCACAUAGGAGUGGCAUAGAAUAAAGCAGGAGGGACAGUUAAAGAUUGAGCUCUGUCUUCAACCAGUGCUGCAGAGAAAUGACAGUGUUAGCAGUGAAUGGAUUUGGCUGACAGUAUCUGGAGGUAAUCCAUUGAAUAGGUAAUGUAACCAUGCACAUAAAU